rnacentral:rRNA from 1 species
UACGUAGGGACCAAGCGUUGUUCGGAUUUACUGGGCGUAAAGGGCGCGUAGGCGGCAAUUCAAGUCAUCUGUGAAAUCUCCGGGCUUAACCCGGAACGGUCAGAUGAUACUGCUUUGCUAGAGUGCGGAAGGGGCAAUCGGAAUUCUUGGUGUAGCGGUGAAAUGCGUAGAUAUCAAGAGGAACACCUGAGGUGAAGACGGGUUGCUGGGCCGACACUGACGCUGAGGUACGAAAGCGUGGGGAGCGAACAGG